GCUGGCGGCGUACUUAACACAUGCAAGUCGAACGAGGAUCACCGGUGUAGCAAUACAUUGUUGAUCCUAGUGGCGCACGGGUGAGUAACACGUGGGUGACCUGCCCUUGAGCUCGGGAUACCCCCUCGAAAGGGGGGCUAAUACCGGAUACGUUCCUUGGUCGAAAGAUCGGGGAGGAAAGGUGGCGCAAGCUGCCGCUCUUGGAGGGGCUCGCGGCCUAUCAGCUAGUUGGCGGGGUAACGGCCCACCAAGGCUAUGACGGGUAGCUGGUCUGAGAGGACGACCAGCCACACGGGGACUGAGACACGGCCCCGACUCCUACGGGAGGCAGCAGUGGGGAAUUUUCCGCAAUGGGCGAAAGCCUGACGGAGUGACGCCGCGUGUGGGACGAAGGCCUUCGGGUCGUAAACCACUGUCAGUGGGAAAGAUGGGUGUCGGGGCUAAUACCUCCGGCAUCUGACGGUACCUGCAGAGGAAGCCCCGGCCAACUCUGUGCCAGCAGCCGCGGUAAGACAGAGGGGGCAAGCGUUGCUCGGAAUUACUGGGCGUAAAGGGCGCGUAGGCGGGAUGGCAAGUCGGUCGUGAAAUCCCUCGGCUCAACCGAGGAACGUCGAUCGAUACUGCUGUUCUU
rnacentral:rRNA from 1 species